rnacentral:rRNA from 1 species
UACGUAGGGGGCAAGCGUUGUCCGGAUUUAUUGGGCGUAAAGAGCGUGUAGGCGGUUUGGUAGGUCCGCUGUGAAAACUCGAGGCUCAACCUCGAGACGCCGGUGGAAACCAUCAGGCUAGAGUCCGGAAGAGGAGAGUGGAAUUCCUGGUGUAGCGGUGAAAUGCGCAGAUAUCAGGAAGAACACCCGUGGCUAAGGCGGCUCUCUAGUACGGUACUGACGCUGAGACGCGAAGCGUGGGGAGCGAACAGG